rnacentral:rRNA from 1 species
AUUGAACGCUGGCGGCAGGCCUAACACAUGCAAGUCGAACGGUAGCACAGAGGAGCUUGCUCCUUGGGUGACGAGUGGCGGACGGGUGAGUAAUGUCUGGGAGACUGCCCGAUGGAGGGGGAUAACUACUGGAAACGGUAGCUAAUACCGCAUAAUGUCGCGAGACCAAAGUGGGGGACCUUCGGGCCGUCAUACCAUCGGAUGUGCCCAGAUGGGAUUAG